CCUACGGGUGGCAGCAGUGGGGAAUAUUGCACAAUGGGCGAAACCCUGAUGCAGCGACGCCGCGUGAGUGAUGAAGUAUUUCGGUAUGUAAAGCUCUAUCUGCAGGGAAGAUAAUGACGGUACCUGACUUAGAAGCUCCGGCGAAAUACGUGCCAGCAGCCGCGGUCAUACGUCUGGAGCACGCGUUAUCCGGAUUUACUGGGUGUAAAGUGAGCUCUGACGGCAGGGCAAGUCUGAUGUGAAAGUCCGGGGGUCAACCCCGGGACUGCAUUGGAAACUGUCCGGCUAGAGUGCAGGAGAGGUAAGUGGAAUGCCUAGUGUAGCGGUGAAAUGCGUAGAUAUUAGGAGGAACACCAGUGGCGAAGGCAGCUUACUGGACUGUAACUGACGUUGAGGCUCGAAAGCGUGGGGAGCAAACAGGAUUAGAUACCCCAGUAGUC
rnacentral:rRNA from 1 species